rnacentral:rRNA from 1 species
AGUUGGAACCACCCCUUCCCAUCCCGAACAGGACCGUGAAACAACUCCACGCCGAUGAUAGUGCGGAUACCCGUGUGAAAGUAGGUAAUCGUCAGGC